AAAAAUUGUUGCACGUUCUGGCCAUGUUUCGGUUGUGUUCUCAUUGUUUUUGGUGGCAAUAAUUUUUGCACCAGAACGUGCAACACGGCGUAUGUGUGUUGCAGGCAAGUGAAAACUCUGAAUGCCCCACUCGAUCAAUCAGAAUCAGAAUAAGAAUCGAGCUCUAUAAACUACUUGUCAUCUCAAUCGCCGAUGGCCCAUCAAUACCAGUUCAAUUAUCGCCAGCCACUGGCAGCGAAAAUAACAAAAACCAACAUGAACCGCCGCUGGAAAAUCAGUUCAUUUAGCCAAACGAUCGUGUAUCCAUCAACGCGGCUUUAAACCUGGCCAAGAAGUGCCAGAAAAAAAUCAGAAAGCAGAGAGGCAGAGGCAGAAAGCAUAAAACAGAAGCAGAAACACACAGCUGACUGAAAAUGCACAGUGUUUAUUUAAUAUAAAUAUAAAAGAAUCGCCUUGUACUCGCCAUAAAGCGCCAAAAGUGAAACACAAAACAGAAGCCCCAAGAAAACACACCUAAAAGA
rnacentral:sRNA from 1 species